rnacentral:rRNA from 1 species
CCUACGGGAGGCAGCAGUGAGGAAUAUUGGUCAAUGGACGAGAGUCUGAACCAGCCAAGUAGCGUGAAGGAUGACUGCCCUCUGGGUUGUAAACUUCUUUUAUAUGGGAAUAAAAUGCUCCACGUGUGGGAUUUUGUAUGUACCAUAUGAUUAAGGAUCGGCUAACUCUGUGCCAGCAGCCGCGGUAAUACGGAGGAUUCGAGCGUUAUCCGGAUUUAUUGGGUUUAAUGGGUGCGUAGGUGGAUUGUUAAGUCAGUUGUGAAAGUUUGCGGCUCAACCGUAAAAUUGCAGUUGAAACUGGCAGUCUGUAGUACAGUAGAGGUGGGCGGAAUUCGUGGUGUAGCGGUGAAAUGCUUAGAUAUAACGAAGAACUCCGAUUGCGAAGGCAGUUCACUGGACUGCAACUGACACUGAGGCUCGAAAGUGUGGGUAUCAAACAGGAUUAGAUACCCGGGUAGUC